AGAGUAAAAUCUCAAAAGUUGGCUCAUAAGAAUAAGAAAACACCAAAAUCAGCCGAAGGGUCGUCUGCGAGAAAAAGAGAGCAAAAUCAUGGUGGUUCUUCUCCAAUCAAACUUUUUGCUUGCAGGAUGCGUACUAGCAAUGAUCCUCGAGUCCAAAUAGAAGAAUCUCAAAUGUUGGCACAUAAGAAUAAGAAAACAUCAAACUCAGCUCAAGGGUCGUCUACUAGAAAAAGAAAGAAAAAUGCUGGUGAUUCUUCUUCAUCCAGGACUUUUGCUUGCAGGAUGCGUGUUAGCAAUGACCCCUGAAUCAAUAUAUGAGGCCUUCUGAUGUAGCUCACUUUAUGCUCAUAGAAUACCCUGGUUUUAAAAAAAAUAAUGAGAUAUGUUUUUUUAAAUGGUAUGAACGUGUAUGGUAGACUUAUUACUUGUAUUUUAAUAAAAG